GAAAGGUAUGCUAAUACGAGAUAACAUAAGAAAUUCGCAUGUUUUUCUUAUCAAAGCUCCGGCGGUACAGGAUGGACCCGCGUCUGAUUAGCUAGUUGGUGAGGUAACGGCUCACCAAGGCGACGAUCAGUAGCCGACCUGAGAGGGUGAUCGGCCACAUUGGAACUGAGACACGGUCCAAACUCCUACGGGAGGCAGCAGUGGGGAAUAUUGCACAAUGGGCGAAAGCCUGAUGCAGCAACGCCGCGUGAGCGAUGAAGGCCUUCGGGUCGUAAAGCUCUGUCCUCAAGGAAGAUAAUGACGGUACUUGAGGAGGAAGCCCCGGCUAACUACGUGCCAGCAGCCGCGGUAAUACGUAGGGGGCUAGCGUUAUCCGGAUUUACUGGGCGUAAAGGGUGCGUAGGCGGUCUUUUAAGUCAGGAGUGAAAGGCUACGGCUCAACCGUAGUAAGCUCUUGAAACUGGAGGACUUGAGUGCAGGAGAGGAGAGUGGAAUUCCUAGUGUAGCGGUGAAAUGCGUAGAUAUUAGGAGGAACACCAGUAGCGAAGGCGGCUCUCUGGACUGUAACUGACGCUGAGGCACGAAAGCGUGGGGAGCAAACAGGAUUAGAUACCCUGGUAGUCCACGCCGUAAACGAAGAGGACUAGCUGUCGGAGGUUACCCCCUUCGGUGGC
rnacentral:rRNA from 1 species